AGUCUCAGUUCGGAUUGAAGGCUGAAAUUCGCCUUCCAUGAAGCCGGAAUUGCUAGUAAUGGCAGGUCAGCAUACUGCCGUGAAUACGUUCCCGGGUCUUGUACACACCGCCCGUCACACCAUGGGAGCCGGUAACGCCCGAAGUCAGUGACCCAACCGAGAGGAGGGAGCUGCCGAAGGCGGGACAGGUAACUGGGGUGAAGUCGUAACAAGGUAUC
rnacentral:rRNA from 1 species